CGCAUCUGUGCAUGCAGCAUAUCAAUAAGCGGAGGAAAAGAAACUAACAAGGAUUCCCCUAGUAACGGCGAGUGAAGCGGGAAGAGCUCAAAUUUGAAAUCUUAAAGGGUUUCCCUUUACGAAUUGUAGUUUAAAGAAGUGUUUUCUGUUGAGGUUUUGGUAAAAGUUCUUUGGAAUAGGACAUCAUAGAGGGUGAGAAUCCCGUAUUUGACCUUUACUUUCAACUUUGUGAUACACUUUCAAAGAGUCGGAUUGUUUGGGAAUGCAGUCCAAAAUGGGUAGUAAAUUUCAUCUAAAGCUAAAUAUUGGCGAGAGACCGAUAGCGAACAAGUACCGUGAGGGAAAGAUGAAAAGAACUUUGAAAAGAGAGUUAAACAGUACGUGAAAUUGUCAAAAGGGAAGCGUUUGACACCAGUGUUGUUUUUCUGAAAAUCAAUUAAAGAACUGUUUAUGCUAAGCUGUUUAGACUUUAUCAGCUAUCUGCUUAGUUUUGAGCUUUUCUUUAAUGCACUUUUCAGUUAACAAGUCAACAUCAAUUUCUUUUGCUGUAAAAAAGCUUGAGGAAGGUGGCUUGAGAUUCGUCUUAAGUGUUUAUAGCCUCUUGCCUAUGCAGUCGGAGAGAUUGAGGUCUGCAGCGUAGAUCCUUCGGGGCUAAAUGCAUUUGUGCUAAGUUAUAGCAUUUUAUAGACAACUUGUUGACUAUGAUUUGUCUUGUAGCUUACUCGCUUAUGUUAUUUUACCUACGCUUAGGAUGUUGAAUCUGUGCGAGACUAC
rnacentral:rRNA from 1 species